AAUGUAUGUUAGACGGCUGAAAAUAUGAAUAGAUUUUAUGUUCUUGAUACUGUAACAGUCCAUCAUGGAGUAUUUUUGUAUCAAAUUGAAGUCAAAGAUGCAAGGCCAAUUGUCGAAAAUGUGGACAAACUAAUGGAAAUCAUCCAGUCCGACCGUCAUGUUGAGAUAGUUCUAGUAGAAUAAUAACUCUUAUUGCGGGACCAACUAAUCCUGACCAAAAUUAUCAUAGUAAUCAUAAAUUCAUCAAUAAGUCGUACCAAUCACGUGGGUACGUCACUCGUCUUCAAACUAAAACAAACCAGCCUAUUCUGAUUUUAUCAAAUAUCAAUAUAUUACUUUUAAAUAGUACUAAUCUUUAUAAGAAAAUGAUGGAGGCUUACUCUACUAUAAGAAAAAGGAGUUUGAUUUGUUUCAGCUCAAGAUAAAUCCGCUACUUCUUAUGGAAUACAUAUAACUUUUUUUUGUUGGGACAAUAAUGGAUUUGAACAAUUUUCUGCAUUUCAAAUUGUUUGUCGAAAUGAAAGAAAAAGAUUUCAUAAAAAAAUACAAAAAAAGUUCAUUUGCUUAAAUUCUGUCUUUUCCCAAAAAAUGGUUGUUUCUAUGUGACGUCAGCAUUGUAGAUGUCGGUCAUUUUGAGGUCUAAACAACCAAGUUGACGACAAAACCCCUCUUUUAUUAAUAUUAAGGAAAAUAAUGAACUAUUGCAUAUUAAAAGUGAACAAUCAAACAAAAGGAUUUAAAUUUCAUCUUUUAUCAAAAGUUUAUCCUUCUUAAGCCUA
rnacentral:lncRNA from 1 species